UACAGAGGGUGCAAGCGUUAAUCGGAAUUACUGGGCGUAAAGCGUGCGUAGGUGGUUGUUUAAGUCUGUUGUGAAAGCCCUGGGCUCAACCUGGGAACUGCAGUGGAAACUGGACAACUAGAGUGUGGUAGAGGGUAGCGGAAUUCCCGGUGUAGCAGUGAAAUGCGUAGAGAUCGGGAGGAACAUCCAUGGCGAAGGCAGCUACCUGGACCAACACUGACACUGAGGCACGAAAGCGUGGGGAGCAAACAGG
rnacentral:rRNA from 1 species